GAUGAACGCUGGCGGCGUGCCUAAUACAUGCAAGUCGAGCGAACGGACGAGAAGCUUGCUUCUCUGAUGUUAGCGGCGGACGGGUGAGUAACACGUGGAUAACCUACCUAUAAGACUGGGAUAACUUCGGGAAACCGUAGCUAAUACCGGAUAAUAUUUUGAACCGCAUGGUUCAAAAGUGAAAGACGGUCUUGCUGUCACUUAUAGAUGGAUCCGCGCUGCAUUAGCUAGUUGGUAAGGUAACGGCUUACCAAGGCAACGAUGCAUAGCCGUCCUGAGAGGGUGAUCGGCCACACUGGAACUGAGACACGGUCCAGACUCCUACGGGAGGCAGCAGUAGGGAAUCUUCCGCAAUGGGCGAAAGCCUGACGGAGCAACGCCGCGUGAGUGAUGAAGGUCUUCGGAUCGUAAAACUCUGUUAUUAGGGAAGAACAUAUGUGUAAGUAACUGUGCACAUCUUGACGGUACCUAAUCAGAAAGCCACGGCUAACUACGUG
rnacentral:rRNA from 1 species